AGGACAGUGACUGGGAUUCUGCAUUUGAAGCGGUGACCCCAAGACUGAAUGCUGGGCUUGCUUACAGACAAGUCACAAAGCAAGAUAGUGAUUGGGACACCACAGUAGAGACCAUAACUCCCAGAGAAGGUCCUGGCUUUUCUUGCACAACAGAGAGCAGCUGAUGAUACUAUUUUGAGUGAAGAUGAUGAAGCAGAAGCAGCAAUCGCAGCAGUUGUCCAUGGCAACCUCCCAAUGCCUAGCAUUGUGAAGACACAAGUGUCAAUCUCAAAUGAGCCACUGGGCACUGAAACAGCACAUGAUGUCACUGCCAUCACAUGCAAUGCAGCCUCAAGUGUAACAAAACAUAUUUCAGCCAGAGAAACAUUGCAUGAUGAUGACAGGGAUGAUGAUGAUGAUGAUGAUGAUGAUGAUGAUCAGUCAUCCUGGGAUUCUGAAGAGGAUAUGCCACCGUCUGAUGCUGCUCUUCCACUACCUAUGGAUGUUGCACUACCAUCACUGCAGCAGCAAAAGCAACAGUUGCAAGCACUGAACAUGAAGUGAUGUCAGAUACAGAUGAUGAAAUGGAUGAGACUGAGCCAGUCAGUGAGUGGGAGUUGGAGCACAUGCAAA